rnacentral:rRNA from 2 species
UUGGAGGGCAAGUCUGGUGCCAGCAGCCGCGGUAAUUCCAGCUCCAAUAGCGUAUAUUAAAGUUGUUGCAGUUAAAAAGCUCGUAGUUGAAUUUCGAGACCGGUUUACUGGUCGUGCUUUUGUACGUACUGGUAUUAUUGGUUUCUCCUUUCUGACGAAUCAUAAUGCCAUUAAUUUGGUGUUUUGGGGAAUCAGGACUGUUACUUUGAAAAAAUUAGAGUGUUUAAAGCAGGCUCACGCUUGAAUACAUUAGCAUGGAAUAACGAAAUAGGACGUUUGAUUUUAUUUUGUUGGUUUCUAGGAUCGACGUAAUGAUUAAUAGGGAUAGUUGGGGGCAUUAGUAUUCAAUUGUCAGAGGUGAAAUUCUUGGAUUUAUUGAAGACUAACUACUGCGAAAGCAUUUGCCAAGGAUGUUUUCAUUAAUCAAGAACGAAAGUUAGGGGAUCGAAGACGAUCAGAUACCGUCGUAGUCUUAACCAUAAACUAUGCCGACUAGGGAUCGGAUGAUGUUAAUUUUUUAAUGACUCAUUCGGCGCCUUACGGGAAAC